UUAGACUAACCAGUUUCUA
rnacentral:snRNA from 1 species